UGGGGAAUAUUGCACAAUGGGCGAAAGCCUGAUGCAGCGACGCCGCGUGAGGGAUGACGGCCUUCGGGUUGUAAACCUCUUUCAGCAGGGACGAAGCGCAAGUGACGGUACCUGCAGAAGAAGCACCGGCUAACUACGUGCCAGCAGCCGCGGUAAUACGUAGGGUGCAAGCGUUGUCCGGAAUUACUGGGCGUAAAGAGUUCGUAGGCGGUUUGUCGCGUCGUUUGUGAAAACCAGCAGCUCAACUGCUGGCUUGCAGGCGAUACGGGCAGACUUGAGUACUGCAGGGGAGACUGGAAUUCCUGGUGUAGCGGUGAAAUGCUCAGAUAUCAGGAGGAACACCGGUGGCGAAGGAGGGUCUCUGGGCAGUAACUGACGCUGAGGAACGAAAGCGUGGGUAGCGAACAGG
rnacentral:rRNA from 1 species